rnacentral:rRNA from 1 species
CGAAGGGGCGUAGCGUUGCUCGGAAUCACUGGGCGUAAAGCGCACGUAGGCGGCUUCUUAAGUCAGGGGUGGAAAUCCUGGAGCUCAACUCCAGAACUGCCUUUGAUACUGAGGAGCUUGAGUCCGGGAGAGGUGAGUGGAACUGCGAGUGUAGAGGUGAAAUUCGUAGAUAUUCGCAAGAACACCAGUGGCGAAGGCGGCUCACUGGCCCGGUACUGACGCUGAGGUGCGAAAGCGUGGGAGCAAACAGGAUUAGAUACCCUGGUAGUCCACGCCGUAAACGAUGGAUGCUAGCCGUUGGCGAGCUUGCUCGUCAGUGGCGCAGCUAACGCUUUAAGCAUCCCGCCUGGGGAGUACGGUCGCAAGAUUA